GAGGGCUUGGCCGGGUGGUCGGGCAGGGGCUUCCAAGCCUAUAACGCGGGUUCGAUUCCCGCAGCCCGCUCCA
rnacentral:tRNA from 1 species